UUCAGGCACCGUCUACAAACGGGGUUUAAAAUGAGCUAGCGCCAUCUACUGGGCGAAUGCCGUAAGGUCGGUUGUGAGGUCCCGGAAUCUGCAAAGGAAUGAAUGAAUUACAAAUCUGUGGCUUUAUGGGGGGAAUGUCGAGAAUCGGGCACACGCUGAAGUGUGAGAACCACUGCCAUUAUGGAGAAGAGGCUUCCCGCCCCCUCACCUGCCACUCUAGAAAUCCAGAGAAGAGAUUCCACUUGGAUUAAGACUUGCAUAAGUGGGGAGUUGAGUCCAGUCUCUUUCCCCCACUGCAAUACCCUGUUGCGGUGACAUGUAAUAAUAAUAAAAAGACUUGCAUGAACUCCUU
ensembl:lncRNA LINC02168 long intergenic non-protein coding RNA 2168